UAGUAGUAGUAGUAGUAAGGGUAGUCAUAUAGUAGUAGUAGUAGUAGUAGUAGUAGUAGUAGUAGUAAGUAUCAUAUAGUAGUAGUAGUAGUAAUUAGGAUGAUCAGAGUGAACUGUUAAUAUUUUGUUCAACAAUCUUUUUUUUUUUUUUUCAUUUAAUCCUGCCUUUCAGAAUCUAAAUAAGGUAUUUACAUGUCUCCCAGAAGACAAAAUACUAACAAUUUACACUGAUCAUCCUUUUCAAAAGUUUACACUCCCCUGGCUCUUAAUGUAUCGUGUUGCAUUUUUGAGCAUCAGUGAGCGUUUGCACCUUUUCUUAAUAGUCAUGUACGAGUCCCUCAUAGAUAUCUCCCAGUUUUGAACCAAAAUUGACUCAAAAUCACAUCCGUUGUGUAUCCUCCCAUGUGCUGCCUUCUAAUAGUGCUUGCUCUUGCGUGACUGAACAUGGCGGAGGCUAUGCUAGUGCACGGUUAGUAUUGAAAAGUUCUGUGAGACAAAAAACAGCUGAGUAAGUCGGAUAGUCACAUUGGAUUUUUCCCACUCAUCCGUCCUGUCUAUGCUCUUGUACGCAUACACAGAGGCACCCUACUGCCCGCUAGUUCAUGCUGGUGCCUGCUGACUGAAGAAAUGAUGCAGCUUUAAAAAGGAAAAAAAAAAGAGAAAGCACUUCAUUGGAAGCUGAUUUGUCCCCAUCACCUCGGCUGUUCUGUCCUGCUUUCCUCCAGCGGGAAUGACUGAAGCUGGAAGGAAGCCAGUUGCCGAUCCUGUACUCUAUUUAAAGACAAUACCGAGCUAUAGGAAGGACGGGAUAAUGUUAGCAUCUCG
ensembl:lncRNA